rnacentral:rRNA from 1 species
UGCUAGUCGUACGAGUUCAGACUCGUGGCGAAUAGCUCAGUAACACGUGGCCAAACUACCCUUCGGAACACAAUACCCUCGGGAAACUGAGGCUAAUAGUGUAUACCAUAUCACCACUGGAAUGAGUGAUGUGCCAAACGCUCCGGCGCCGAAGGAUGUGGCUGCGGCCGAUUAGGUAGACGGUGGGGUAACGGCCCACCGUGCCAAUAAUCGGUAUGGGUCAUGAGAGUGAGAACCCAGAGACGGAAUCUGAGACAAGAUUCCGGGCCCUACGGGGCGCAGCAGGCGCGAAACCUUUACACUGCACGACAGUGCGAUAGGGGGAUCCCAAGUGCACAGGCAUAGCGCCUGUGCUUUUCGGUACCGUAAGGUGGUACCAGAAUAAGGGCUGGGCAAGACCGGUGCCAGCCGCCGCGGUAAUACCGGCAGCCCAAGUGAUGGCCGAUCUUAUUGGGCCUAAAGCGUCCGUAGCUGGCCGCGCAAGUCCAUCGGGAAAUCCACCUGCUCAACAGGUGGGCGCCCGGUAGAAACUGCGUGGCUUGGGACCGGAAGGCGCGACGGGUACGUCCGGGGUAGGAGUGAAAUCCCGUAAUCCUGGACGGACCGCCGAUGGCGAAAGCACGUCGCGAGGACGGAUCCGACAGUGAGGGACGAAAGCCAGGGUCUCGAACCGGAUUAGAUACCCGGGUAGUCCUGGCCGUAAACAAUGUCUGCUAGGUGUGGCUCCCACUACGAGUGGGUGCUGUGCCGUAGGGAAGCCGCUAAGCAGACCGCCUGGGAAGUACGUCCGCAAGGAUGAAACUUAAAGGAAUUGGCGGGGGAGCACUACAACCGGAGGAGCCUGCGGUUUAAUUGGACUCAACGCCGGACAUCUCACCAGCAUCGACUGUAAUAAUGACGACCAGGUUGAUGACCUUGUCCGAGUUUCAGAGAGGAGGUGCAUGGCCGCCGUCAGCUCGUACCGUGAGGCGUCCUGUUAAGUCAGGCAACGAGCGAGACCCGCACCCUUACUUGCCAGCAGUACCGCGAGGUAGCUGGGGACAGUAGGAGGACCGCCGUGGCUAACACGGAGGAAGGAACGGGCAACGGUAGGUCAGUAUGCCCCGAAUGUGCUGGGCAACACGCGGGCUACAAUGGUCGAGACAAAGGGUUCCUACUCCGAAAGGAGACGGUAAUCUCAGAAACUCGAUCGUAGUUCGGAUUGUGGGCUGCAACUCGCCCACAUGAAGCUGGAUUCGGUAGUAAUCGCGUGUCACAAGCGCGCGGUGAAUACGUCCCUGCUCCUUGCACACACCGCCCGUCAAAGCACCCGAGUGAGGUCCGGAUGAGGCGUUCCACGAACGUCGAAUCUGGGCUUCGCAAGGGGGCUUAA